rnacentral:rRNA from 1 species
GACGAACGCUGGCGGCGUGCCUAAUACAUGCAAGUCGAACGCAGUGGGGACGGGUGAGUAACACGUGGGUAACCUCCCCUCAGAGGGGAUAACACUUGGAAACAGGUGCUAAACCGCUACUGCUGGAUGGCACCGCGGUGCAUUAGCUAGGUGGUGAGGUAACGGCUCACCAAGGCCACGAUGCAUAGCCGACGUGAGAGGGGGAUCGGCCAGACGGGGACUGAGACACGGCCCAGACUCCUACGGGAGGCAGCAGUAGGGAAUCGUCGGCAAUGGACGAAAGUCUGACCGAGCAACGCAGCGUGAGUGAAGAAGGUUUGCGGAUCGUAAAACUCUGUUGUUAGAGAAGCGGUAUCUAACCAGAAAGCCACGGCUAACUACGUGCCAGCAGCCGCGGUAAUUC